ACCAAACCAGAAGAUAAAGUUUUAACUGACAAUUUAGAAAUCAAAAACUAUAGAAAUAUUAAAAUCCCACUUACCGAAACAAACGAAGGAAGAUGAAAAAUCAAGAUGCAAAGAUUUGACAACCGUUGUAAACAGAAUAGAAUGAGGUAGCAAAAGAAAAGAAGAACGAAAAUGCAGAGCUAGGCAAAACAAAACUUACGUCAGAUUUUUGGGAAAAGAGAGAAGAAUUUUGAAAAAAACAAAAUAAAAUAAAAUAACCAAUUUGAUUACAACCCCACUACAUCCACUAACAACCCAAACGACUCAGAAUUUCAAGACCACUCAAACUCUCUCAGCCAAUCGAAACAAAAAUCAACACCCUUACACUUGUAGGGAUUUGAACAUAAGACCUCCAACACAACAACCCCC
rnacentral:lncRNA from 1 species